GACGAACGCUGGCGGCGUGCUUAACACAUGCAAGUCGAACGGAAAGGCCCUGCUUGCCGGGUACUCGAGUGGCGAACGGGUGAGUAACACGUGGGUGAUCUGCCCUGCACUUCGGGAUAAGCCUGGGAAACUGGGUCUAAUACCGGAUAGGAGCCAUUUUUAGUGUGAUGGUUGGAAAGUUUUUUCGGUGUUGGAUGAGCUCGCGGCCUAUCAGCUUGUUGGUGGGGUAAUGGCCUACCAAGGCGGCGACGGGUAGCCGGCCUGAGAGGGUGGACGGCCACAUUGGGACUGAGAGACGGCCCAGACGCCUACGGGAGGCAGCAGGGGGGAAUAUUGCACAAUGGGCGCAAGCCUGAUGCAGCGACGCCGCGUGGGGGAUGACGGCCUUCGGGUUGUAAACUCCUUUCGCUAGGGACGAAGCUUUUUGUGACGGUACCUAGAUAAGAAGCACCGGCUAACUACGUG
rnacentral:rRNA from 1 species